rnacentral:rRNA from 1 species
UACGUAGGGUGCGCGCGUUGUCCGGAAUUAUUGGGCGUAAAGGGCUCGUAGGCGGUUUGUCGCGUCGGGAGUGAAAUCCACUGGCUUAACUGGUGGCUUGCUUUCGAUACGGGCAGACUGGAGGUAUGCAGAGGAGAGCGGAAUUCCUGGUGUAGCGGUGAAAUGCGCAGAUAUCAGGAGGAACACCGGUGGCGAAGGCGGGUUUCUGGGCGGAUACUGACGCUGAGGAGCGAAAGCGUGGGGAGCAAACAGG